rnacentral:rRNA from 1 species
CCAAUAGCGUAUAUUAAAGUUGUUGCAGUUAAAAAGCUCGUAGUUGAAUUUCGGGGUUAGUAGGUUGGUCAUGCCUCUGGUAUGUACUGGUCUCACUGAUUCCUCCUUCCUGAUGAACCUUAAUGCCAUUAAUUUGGUGUUUUGGGGAAUUUGGACUGUUACUUUGAAAAAAUUAGAGUGUUUAAAGCAAGCUAACGCUU